UACGGUCACACAUGAAUUGGAGACUUCCGUUCUCUUUUUGUGAAGGCGUGAUCGAGUGCAGUUCAAUAUUGUGCAAAAUCCAUAUUUAAAAAUCCACGAGCAUCGUGUGGUUCGGAUUAUAGUUUUUCAAGGCAAAUACUGCCGAGUGAUAGUUUACCUUUAACUGCGUCGCUGCCGGUCCCACGUUUGGAGAUAGGAGUUUUAGUGGCUGCGUCGCCAAGGCGAUAGAUUUACAACUGCUGGCAUCAGGAGCACCCACCGUGUGCAGUGGAAGGCUGGGCUUGACCUCUUCUGCUGCCGACAGAUCACAGGUCAACCCACCCCAGAGUUGGCGUUCUUUUUUUUUCUUCAUCGCCGCACGCAGGAAGCAGAUCGCCGUGCAUCCAUUUAAUGCACAAAUCAGCUUGGUGUCUUCUUCAACCCUGCGCAUUCCAAUAAUAUUUGGGCACAACACGAGCCCCAGGCUGGCCUUGUCGCUGCGUAUGCUGCGAACCCGAAGCAGCCGCAACACGAAUGAUCGUGUUCAGUAUUAACUUAACUUGUGGGAGAUCUGACAAGUUUAUAUAUGUGAUUCUCCCGAUUUAUAGUAAUACCUACAGCAAGUCAUCAAACGUCAUCAGGCCUGCUGACAUCGAUGGAAAGUGCGUGAGUAGAAAACAAAAUAAUAAAACACACAAACAUAUAUAUAUAAAAGUCAGAUAUUCCUAAAUAGUAUUCUUAAAAUACCUUGCCUUAAUUAAUCAUGGUUUAAAGAAGUUUAUAGUUUAAAUACUCAUUAAUCAUAAAUAAUUCUAAUGUAAAAUAAGUCGAAGGAACAAAAGAAUAAUGUAAACUUAUAUACCAGUAUUUGAAUUUCUACCUUAAUUACUUUUCUUUCAUUUUGUCGUUGAUAAUCAAAAUUAAUCCAUAAGAGAUUUUCUUAACAUAAAUAACGUAAUUUUUAGUUUAAGGAUUAGGUUUAGGAAAAUGUAUCUAAAUCUUAUAUUUAUCUUUAAUUAUAUGGGGACCAAAAUGAAUUAAUUUGACUUCUUGUUGGGCACCAAAGGGUAUGUAGAGCAGUGGUUGUACUAGGGUGGAGUCCGAAUGGAUUCCACAGGUAGGGUGGGUAAUGAAUAAGGCCAAUAACAUCUGGGCCUCGUCUUCAGUAGGUACACCCUUUUGUCCGCUUCCUAACCGUUUGGUUAUCGUUUUUGAAUCUUCCGUAUCUCUGUCUACACUAUUGUAGCUGUAACACUCUUGUUCAUCGCAACACAAAACCCACGCCCAUUUUCCCUGAGCAUGCCGGUAAAAAUCGUAGACAGAGUGUGUUGGGGUGGACAACGCUCUAUGAGUGUGUUCGUUACAGUUAUAAUUGGCGCCCAACGUGGGGCAGCCCGAUGCCUGAUUAGGCACUUGUCGUUUGACAACCGAGCUUCCCGUUAAUAAACAAUUCAUCCACUUUUAGUUUCAGUUAGGUAUUUCAUAUUCCGUCCUGGAAUUUAUGGUCUCUGGAGAGUUCCGGAGCCAUACCGGAGGAAAUGUUAUGCUCUUAUAUGUUUUUUUUUCUAUCAGUUCGGUAAUAAUCGAACAUUAUUGUUAAAAAAGAACAUUCUAAUUUGAGUAAUUGAUUCUUAGGAAUUAUAGUUCUGAUUUAAAGUCGGUUCUAUACCAGGAUUUCACUAUUCAAAAAUUACCUCCUUAUCAUUUAGGAUCGAGAUUUUUCU